GGAUGGGACCAUGAAGUAAGUGGCCUGACUGAGACAUCGAGAGAAACACUUUAUCCAGCCUGGUGGUGGAUCUUGUGGUGGAGGACGUGUUUCUCACACCCAACACAGCCGAACCAGAACAGGACCAGAAAGUACUAGCAAGACACUUAAAUUGCAACCCCAACUUUAUUGGCAUCUGCACCAUUAAUCCAGGACAGGGAUGAGAAGGAAAAACAACCAAAAACACCUGGAGACACCACCUGGCUGCAGCACAUGAAAAGUUUGCUUGACGGUAAGCUACCAGAUUUAAUUACUCAUUAAAUAAAGAUGCUGCAAUGAACUGUCCAUGCCUGCUUAACCCAUUUUCAUACUUUAUAAGAAGUCAAUUCUUUAAAUUAUACCAUGGGGGCAGCUUCAAGAGGACUGGAAGGAAGAAGAACAACACAACACUACCUG
ensembl:lncRNA